rnacentral:rRNA from 1 species
AUUGAACGCUGGCGGCAUGCCUUACACAUGCAAGUCGAACGGCAGCACGGGUGCUUGCACCUGGUGGCGAGUGGCGAACGGGUGAGUAAUACAUCGGAACGUACCUUAUCGUGGGGGAUAACGCAGCGAAAGCUGUGCUAAUACCGCAUACGCCCUGAGGGGGAAAGCGGGGGAUCGAGAGACCUCGCGCGAUUAGAGCGGCCGAUGCCUGAUUAGCUUGUUGGUGGGGUAAAAGCCCACCAAGGCGACGAUCAGUAGCUGGUCCGAGAGGACGAUCAGCCACACUGGGACUGAGACACGGCCCAGACUCCUACGGGAGGCAGCAGUGGGGAAUUUUGGACAAUGGGGGCAACCCUGAUCCAGCAAUGCCGCGUGAGUGAAGAAGGCCUUCGGGUUGUAAGGCUCUUUUGUCAGGGAAGAAACACCGGCUCUAACACAGUCCGGGAAUGACGGUACCUGGAGAAUAAGCACCGGCUAACUACGUGCCAGCCGCCGCCGUAA